rnacentral:rRNA from 1 species
AUUGAACGCUGGCGGCAUGCCUUACACAUGCAAGUCGAACGGCAGCACGGGAGCAAUCCUGGUGGCGAGUGGCGAACGGGUGAGUAAUAUAUCGGAACGUGCCCAGUCGUGGGGAUAACGUAGCGAAAGCUACGCUAAUACCGCAUACGAUCUAUGGAUGAAAGCGGGGGAUCGCAAGACCUCGCGCGAUUGGAGCGGCCGAUAUCAGAUUAGGUAGUUGGUGAGGUAAAGGCUCACCAAGCCGACGAUCUGUAGCUGGUCUGAGAGGACGACCAGCCACACUGGGACUGAGACACGGCCCAGACUCCUACGGGAGGCAGCAGUGAGGAAUAUUGGACAAUGGGCGCAAGCCUGAUCCAGCCAUGCCGCGUGCAGGAUGACGGUCCUAUGGAUUGUAAACUGCUUUAUACAGGUAAGAACAACUCCGACGUGUCG